rnacentral:rRNA from 1 species
GAUGAACGCUGGCGGCGUGCUUAACACAUGCAAGUCGAACGGUGAAGGCGGAGCUUGCUCUGCUGGAUCAGUGGCGAACGGGUGAGUAACACGUGAGCAAUCUGCCCCUGACUCUGGGAUAAGCGCUGGAAACGGCGUCUAAUACUGGAUACGAGCUGCGAAGGCAUCUUCAGCAGCUGGAAAGAAUUUCGGUCAGGGAUGAGCUCGCGGCCUAUCAGCUUGUUGGUGAGGUAAUGGCUCACCAAGGCGUCGACGGGUAGCCGGCCUGAGAGGGUGGCCGGCCACACUGGGACUGAGACACGGCCCAGACUCCUACGGGAGGCAGCAGUGGGGAAUAUUGCACAAUGGGCGAAAGCCUGAUGCAGCAACGCCGCGUGAGGGACGACGGCCUUCGGGUUGUAAACCUCUUUUAGCAGGGAAGAAGCGAAAGUGACGGUACCUGCAGAAAAAGCGCCGGCUAACUACGUG